rnacentral:misc_RNA from 1 species
UGGCUCUGGCAUCGAUGAAGAACGCAGCGAAAUGCGAUAAGUAGUGUGAAUUGCAGAAUUCAGUGAAUCAUCGAAUCUUUGAACGCACAUUGCGCCCUCUGGUAUUCCUCAGGGCAUGCCUGUUCGAGCGUCAUCUCCCCCUUCAAGCCCUGCUUGGUGUUGGGCGCCCGUCCCGCCUCUGGCGUGGACCCGCCUCAAAUGCAUUGGCGGCCUGUGUAUUUCGGGCUACGAGCGCAGCACAUUGGCGCCUCGACCCGCGCCACCGGCGUCCAGUAAGCGACCACAAUAUUGACCUCGGAUCAGGUAGGGAUACCCGCUGA